CCUACGGGGGGCAGCAGUGGGGAAUAUUGCACAAUGGGGGAAACCCUGAUGCAGCGACGCCGCGUGAGCGAAGAAGUAUUUCGGUAUGUAAAGCUCUAUCAGCAGGGAAGAAAAUGACGGUACCUGACUAAGAAGCUCCGGCUAAAUACGUGCCAGCAGCCGCGGUAAUACGUAUGGAGCAAGCGUUAUCCGGAUUUACUGGGUGUAAAGGGAGCGCAGGCGGCUUUGCAAGUCUGAUGUGAAAGGCCAGGGCUCAACCCUGGGACUGCAUUGGAAACUGUAAAGCUAGAGUGCCGGAGAGGUAA
rnacentral:rRNA from 1 species